rnacentral:rRNA from 1 species
AUACGGAGGGUGCGAGCGUUAAUCGGAAUUACUGGGCGUAAAGCGUACGUAGGCGGUUUGUUAAGUUAGAUGUGAAAGCCCUGGGCUUAACCUGGGAACUGCAUUUAAAACUGGCAGACUAGAGUUUGAUAGAGGAGAGUGGAAUUUCAGGUGUAGCGGUGAAAUGCGUAGAGAUCUGAAGGAACAUCAGUGGCGAAGGCGACUCUCUGGAUUAAAACUGACGCUGAGGUACGAAAGCGUGGGUAGCAAACAGGAUUAGAUACCCUAGUAGUCC